rnacentral:tRNA from 1 species
UGCGGGGUCGUCUAAUUGGCAGGACGGCAGACUCUGGAUCUGCUAGUUGGGGUUCGAGUCCCUGCCCCGCAG